UACAUGGGGUGCAAACGUUUGCUCGGAAUUAUUGGGCGUAAAGCGCACGUAGGCGGUUCGUUAAGUCGGAUGUGAAAGCCCUCGGCUCAACUGAGGAAGUGCACCCGAAACUGGCGAGCUUGAGUACGAAAGAGGAUCGCGGAAUUCCCGGUGUAGAGGUGAAAUUCGUAGAUAUCGGGAGGAACACCGGGUGGCGAAGGCGGCGAUCUGGGUCGAUACUGACGCUGAGGUGCGAAAAGCGUGGGGAGCAAACAGG
rnacentral:rRNA from 1 species